CAGGGAAUAUUGUGCAAUGAACGAAAGUUUGACACAGCGACACCGCGUGUGGGAUGACGGAUCUAGGUUUGUAAACCACUUUCAGGAGGGAAGAAAAUGACGGUACCUCCACAAGAAGCCCCGGCCAACUACGUGCCAGCAGCCGCGGUAAUACGUAGGGGGCGAGCGUUGUCCGGAUUUAUUGGGCGUAAAGAGCUCGUAGGCGGUUCAACAAGUCGGUCGUGAAAGUUCAGGGCUCAACCCUGAAAUGUCGAUCGAUACUGUUGUGACUAGGAUACGGCAGAGGUGAGUGGAAUUCCGAGUGUAGCGGUGAAAUGCGUAGAUAUUCGGAGGAACACCAAUUGCGAAGGCAGCUCACUGGGCCGCUAUCGACGCUGAGGAGCGAAAGCUAGGGGAGCAAACAGGAUUAGAUACCCUGGUAGUCCUAGCUGUAAACGAUGGAUACUAGAUGUAGGAAUUGGUUUAACGAUUUCUGUAUC
rnacentral:rRNA from 1 species